AGGGGAGUAGUCGCCCUUUCGUCAUGACCCGUCGUCGUGGGAGAGGGGCUCGUGUCAACACACUUGGCGCUGUCGCCAUGGCACGUGCGACCGUUCGGUUUGACGAGACCUUGGGCUCGGUGUCAUGUCCGGCGAGGGGCUGGGCGUGUGAUGCCUUGUCCUCG
rnacentral:sRNA from 2 species